GUAGUAGGAGAGAGGAGAGUGACGUGUACCGUGGUCGUCGGAGUAGGCGAGGAGGGAGACGAUGUGGGGGUGGCGGAGGCGGCGGAGCAGGUCGAGCUCCUGCCGGAACGCGCGCAGCCACCGCUCGCCGCCGCACCACCGGUGCACCUUCACCGCCAC
rnacentral:sRNA from 1 species